rnacentral:rRNA from 1 species
CACAGGGAGGUAGUGACAAUAAAUAACAAUGCCGGGCUUUUUAAGUCUGGCAAUUGGAAUGAGAACAAUUUAAAUCCCUUAUCGAGGAUCAAUUGGAGGGCAAGUCUGGUGCCAGCAGCCGCGGUAAUUCCAGCUCCAAUAGCGUAUACUAAAGUUGUUGCAGUUAAAAAGCUCGUAGUUGAAUUUCUGGUCUUGGGACUCGGUCUGCCUCAAACGAGGUAUGUACCAGGGUCCUGAGACCAUCCUCGAGGAAAAUAAUUCUGUAAUUAAGUUUAUGGGAUUAGGAUCCUCGUCAUUUACUGUGAGCAAAAUAGGGUGUUCAAAGCAGGCUUAUGCCGUUGAAUACAUUAGCAUGGAAUAAUAAGAUAAGACCUUGGUCUAUUUUGUUGGUUUGUACUCCAAGGUAAUGAUUAAUAGGGAUAGUUGGGGGUAUUCGUAUUCCGAAGCUAGAGGAA